AAGCGAAACCACCCCAGGCAACUGGGGUGGUCUGCCGGGCGUGGUUGCCUGGUACUGAUGAGCAGCCGAGG
rnacentral:hammerhead_ribozyme from 1 species